rnacentral:lncRNA from 1 species
AUGAUAUUGGAUUCACUCCAUUCCAUAGUCUGUUGCAAGUGUUCUACAAAGAACAAAUUCAUCCUGUAUCACCUACACAAAGUGGCAAUGCUGCCUUCCACUUUUUGCAGCAGCAGCAGUGCUGAAGUUACUCAUAAAUUGUUCUGUGCAUUUGACAUACAGCCAACUACUGGAAGAAGCAAACUCACCCCUCCCCAGCCAUCAUUGCUGAGUAAUGCCCAGAGUCAUACUUUUGAAAAGCAAAUUCUUCCUCUGCAGCAUUGCUGCAGGACCUAUGGCAGAGUGCAUAUCCUGAGAACUAGAGUUGAGAAAGUAGCCUUGAGAAGAAAAGAAGAGAUAAGACCCAGUGCACAUAAAGCACCAAAUGGUUCCUGGAACAGCUGA